rnacentral:lncRNA from 1 species
AAGAAAUCUUAAAGAAAUAUAAUAAUAAUUAUAAAUAUAUCUUAAAUAAAUUUUAAUCAAGUUCUAAUUUAAUCCUAAUUAAAAUUCUAAUGGAAUUUAAUCAAAUCUUAGAUCAAAUCUCAAAUCCUAAAUAAAUCCUAAAUCUUAAAUUCUAAAUCCUAAAUAAUUCCUAAACCCUAAAUCUUAAGCAAAUCUUAAAUCUUAAAUCCUAAACCAAAACCUAACCAAUUCAAUUUAAUCCUAGUACAAUUUAGAACCUCAAUAUCUAUCGAUUAAACUAUUGAUCUUAUUGAAAAUUUAACAUACUUUUCAACAAUUAAGUCAGCAAUAAGCACACAAAAUUUAAAAAGAAUUGAUAGAUAAGAUAUUUGUAUUAUUAACACAUAGGGAUAGAUAGUUGAUACCAUACUUGAGAAGUUAUGAAACUUUCUAGAAUUAGAACUAGUUUAGUAGACUAUAUAAAAUCUAUCAUAGAAUAUUUUAAAAAGAGCUUAAGGUGGUGUCAUAAUACAUGAAGUCUUGCUUGAGAAUGCUCCGGGCACUUGGCUUUGGAAGGUAGAAUGGCAAUUGUAACAACAAAAUCUUAAUUCUAAUAGAAUACUAACUAAAUUCUAAUUAAACCAUAAUAAUGCUAAACAAGCUUUAAUCAAAUUCAAAGAAACAUCAAAGAAAUUUUAAAGAAAUAAUAAGAAAUCUUAAAGAAAUAUCAGAAUGAUGAUAAAUAUAUCUCAAUUUAAUCUGAAUUAAAUCCUAGUUAAAAUCCUAUUAGACUUCAUUCAAUCUUUAGGCCAAAAACUAAUUAAAUCUUAAACUCUAAAAAAACCCUAAUAAAAUCUUAAAUCCUAAAUCAAAUCCUAAAUCCUAAAUCAAAUCCUAAAUCCUAAACCAAAUCCUAACCAAAUCCUAAAUCAAACUCUAAUCAAACUUUAAACCCUAAGUCAAACCCUAACUCUAAAUCAAAUCCUAAUCAAAUCUUGAAUCCUAAACCAAUUCUCAAUCAAAAUCUAAACCAAAUCCUAAAUCCUAAAUCAAAUCCUAACCAAAUCCUAACCCUAAAUCAAAUCCUAACCAAACUCUAAACCCUAAAUCAAAUCGUAAAUCCUAAAUCAAA